rnacentral:piRNA from 1 species
AAAGGAUGUGACCUUGAGAAAGC